AGCAUGCGCAGCCGCAGCCACAACCGCACGCUGCUGCAUCGGCUCAGCAUGCGCAGCCGCAACGGCGCAGCGAGCGCAGCCGCGUCUGUAUCACCGAGCGCAACCCCAACGAGCCCGACGCAGCCGCAUCUAUAACAAGAAUCGAGUAUGUUCAUUCUAAAGGGAUAUGAAGAAGAUCAAGAGGAUAAUGAAGAAGAGGAAGGAGGACUGAGUCAAUCUGGAAAAGAGUUGAGGAAG